CUUGUAAAACAAAGAAGAUCAAAGACGCUAGAUUAUUUAAUUUCACAUACAGAUACAGGGCCACGUAAUGGAAGAAACUGACCAUGCCUGCUACAAUAUCAUAAUGGACACUUUGGACGUGUCAACAUAAAAAAUCAUGCCUGGUACAAUAUAUAUAAUAUAGAUAUACUACGGCCAAGUCACAAAUAGAUCAUGCCUGCUAAAAUAUCUUUACAUAUAUUAGGGCUUUGUCUAAGACGCAUCAAGCAAAACAGCUAAAAAUGGCGAACCAAACGGUUCAACUCCGAAUAUCGUAUUCUUAUUAGAAUCUUGUUCAUAAAUACCAUGAGUAGUCAUAAACACAAUUACACCAUUUACGUAAUCUUGGUAAAUCAAAUGUUAAUAGAAUAUCAAUGGCCAGAAUGCAGCCGAAGUCCACGUAGGCACAACGAACGUGCCUUUAGCUUUACAAACUAUUAUAUGUUUAAUAGAUCUAAUCAAAAGAUUAAUUGGUGAAACCAACCAAUUAUUUUCAUUGAUCCAAACUUGAGAAAACGCAUCUGCUGCUUCAGAUUCAGGUUGCCAAAAUAAAGAAUUAAAUUUCGAAACUUUUCUGUUUUCAACACUAGCAAAUCUGUCAAUCGAAUAAGGACCCUAUAUUUGACUUAAAAAAUUGAAAAAUAUGUGUGUGACUCCCCAGUUCUCAAAAUCAACCAUUUUACUAAUAAAAUCAGCUUUUCCAUUUUUUUUCUGGGACACCAUUACAUAUCAAUUGAUAUUCCUUUCUGAAUGCAAAAAAAAAAAAAAAAAAAAAUC